UUACGUGUAAGAAUAAGCACCGGCUAAUUCCGUGCCAGCAGCCGCGGUAAUACGGAAGGUGCAAGCGUUAUCCGGUUUUAUUGGGUUUAAAGGGUGCGUAGGCGGCUUAUUAAGUCAGUUGUGAAAUCCUAGUGCUUAACGCUAGAACUGCAAUUGAUACUAUUAGGCUUGAGUUAAGAAUAGGUAAGUAGAAUUUAUGGUGUAGUAGUGAAAUGCUUAGAUAUCAUAAGGAAUACCAAUAGCGUAGGCAGCUUACUGGUCUUUAACUGACGCUGAGGCACGAAAGCGUGGGGAGCAAACAGGAUUAGAUACCCCUGGUAGUCCACGCCGUAAACGAUAAGCACUCGGUAUACAUAAAUUUAUGUGUGUCUAAGCGAAAGCGUUAAGUGAUCACACA
rnacentral:rRNA from 1 species